GACGAACGCUGGCGGCGUGCCUAAUACAUGCAAGUCGAACGCAGUGGGGACGGGUGAGUAACACGUGGGUAACCUCCCAUCAGAGGGGAUAACACUUGGAAACAGGUGCUAAACCGAUACUGAUGGAUGGACCCGCGGUGCAUUAGCUAGUUGGUGAGGUAACGGCUCACCAAGGCCACGAUGCAUAGCCGGCCUGAGAGGGGGGUCGGCCACACGUGGACUGAGCCACGGCCCAGACUCCUACGGGAGGCAGCAGUAGGGAAUCUUCGGCAAAUGACGAAAGUCUUACCGAGCCAACGCGCGGUAGGUAAAAAGGUUUUCGGAUCGUAAAACUCUUUUGUUAGGGAAGCCGUAUCUAACCAGAAAGCCACGGCUAACUACGUGCCAGCAGCCGCGGUAAUAC
rnacentral:rRNA from 1 species